rfam:Pelodiscus sinensis unplaced genomic scaffold C71323470, whole genome shotgun sequence.
AAGACUGUACUUUCAGGAAUCAUUUCUCUAGUUACCAACUAGAGAAAUACAGCUGAAAGUGAGUGGUCUUGCUAACCGUGAGGAUGAUUGAUAGUGUUUUUUUCUGAACAAGAAAUAAGCAAACAGUGUUGUUUUAAUGUCAUUGCUGGUUGUUGAUGAUGAUUGUUCCUUUUUUCUUGUAGAGAAGCUGGAGGAAGAGAGCACAGGCUG